rnacentral:lncRNA from 1 species
UGAUGCCAGUAAGAAUUAGGGUCAGGUGGAGGGUGCGGCGGCGAAGCCCAUGUAGGCGGAUGUGGCGGCGAGGGUGAGUGGGCCAAAUGUUUGGGCCACAUGUGCAUCAGAGAUUGAUCGACGGUGGGAUGACCCCAGACGUGUAAGGGUCUAAAGUGGGGAUGAGGAGGGAAACCAAUGGUAGGUGUAAGCCAUGGAUUGAUGUCUCUCUUCCCUCCUCCUCCUCCUCCGCCGACGCCGCCACCUGUCACCGCAGCUCCGUACAUUUGCC